CAAGCUCUCCUUUAAAUCAGUCUCAAACAUCAGAUCUUACAACCUCUGCCACUGCAAGCUCUCCUUCACCUCAGUCUCAAACAUCAGAUACUACAAAUUCAUCAUCACUCCCUUUCACUUCAAGUAUUUCUUCAGAUGAUUCUCACACAUCUCCCCAAACACCUCAUACAACAGCCCCUGCCAUUACAAGCUCUGGAUCUCAAAUAAGUGAGUACUUUUAUUCAUGGACAACUGAGUAAAUGUGAAAAUAAUAUGCAUGUUCAUUCAAUUUAUUGAUGAUCUAUGUAUUUAUGU